rnacentral:lncRNA from 1 species
GCGAGUAAAGAUACAUUUAACCACUUGGGGUCGGGACUAAAUUCAUCAUGAACCUGAUAUGUUGGUAUGAAUUCACACACACACGUCAAUUUGCAUUUAACAAGUAAAGAUUGAUGUCAUGUUUGCACUGAUAAAUUUUUAUAAAGUUAAAUACUUAGUCCAAUCCUGAGCUACAACAGGAUAUUAAGUCAAGUUUGUUCAAAAUUAAGUCACUAUCUUGUUUGAGGACAAAUAAUAGUUCAAGUUUGUGGAGUUUGAUAAGUGUGUUUUUGCACACUUAUUUAGGUCUCAAACAUGACUGAAUAACGAGCAAAAUGAUUGCAUUGUGACUUAAUCUCGCUACAUUUGUGAAUUGUAGGGAACAACGAUGAACGUGGUGAAAUUCAAGAGAAAAGACUCGAAAAAGGACUAAAAUUAGCAAAAUGAAAGUUCAGGGACCAAGGUGCAAUUAUCCAAAAGUUGACCUGAUGAACAAAUCGAGAAACUGAUUAAGCCAAUUGCCAAUUGAUGAUAUCUUGGGAUGAUGGAAUGGAAAAAAAUGAAGAAAAGAUGCUAAGAUGUGAAUGAUUCAAGUAGAAUGACUAAAAUGAACAUCUUCCAUAGUCGCAUAGUGCUACCUCUAUGCGGUCGAAUAGAGGCAAACCGAAAGUAAAAUAUCACAAAAAAAUUACUCUAUGCGACCGCAUAGAGAUGCUCUAUGCGGUCGCAUAGAGCAUUUCUGGGCCAAAACAAGUUUCAUUUUUCCGUCGAAACUCUUAUGGAAACAAUAUUUUUAGGGUUCUAUAUAAACAAAAACUCGACCAGAACGAGAGGGACGCUAUUUUUACAAGUUUUUGAGAGAUUUUGAAGGAGAAACGAAGAGAGAACAAGUGAAGAUUCGAUUGAAACUUGAUUCGGGUGAUGACGUUUCUUCAACUAUUUUUAUAUUUUCUUCUUUUUAGCAUGUUAGGCUAGAUUUUUCAUUGCUAGGAGAUCGAUGAACCUUGUAAUACUAUGUUUGAUUUUUGAUUUGGAUAUUUGAUAUAUUUAAACGCAUGUUCCGAAAUUGAAUGAUUUAUUACGUUUUUAUUUUCAUAUGAUUAUUGUGCACAUAAUUAUAUGAUUGUAGUGGCCCGUUUUAUGCAUUCGAAAGAAAAAAAUAGUUUCGAUAUAGUAUAAGUCAUCAUAGGAUCCGAUAGGGGAUAUAAAUAUACAUCUAUGCCUUGUGUGAAUUAUUGGAUAUUUAUGAAUUUAUAAUGCAUUUCGGUAUGUUAGUAUUCGUUAUAAAAAUAUAGUCGAAUCAUAUAUUGUGAUAGGUUUGGCAUUGCUCGAGAGAGAUUGCUAAAUUAAAAUAGGAAUAUUAUUCAUCUUUUAUGGAACU